rnacentral:lncRNA from 1 species
AGCGAGCAAUUCACUGCUAUGUUCAGGAGAAAAGCUUUCUUGCAUUGGUACACUGGUGAAGGUAUGGAUGAGAUGGAGUUCACAGAAGCUGAGAGCAACAUGAAUGAUCUUGUGUCCGAGUACCAGCAGUACCAGGAUGCCACUGCCGACGAGGAGGGUGAGUACGAUGACGAGGAGGAAGAGGAGGGUCAGUAUGCGGAGCAGAUGUGAAGGAGUGUCACAACCAAGCAUGAACAGUAAUAUCCGAUUCCUAUCGAUGCUUCACUAUGGUAUAUGAAGCUCGCAUAAGUUAGCUCCAUGUAUGUUAUUGA